UCCCUUGUAGCUCAGUUGGUAAAGAAUCUGCCUACAAUGCAGGAGACCCAGGUUCAAUUCCUGGGUUGGGAA
rnacentral:tRNA from 1 species